rnacentral:lncRNA from 10 species
ACAUUUAAACCAAUACUUUUCCCUUUUUCUGUUAGGUUAGUUUGAAUUGGAUUUCUGCUGUCACAACCCAAAAAGUCCUAUUUGAUACAAGGUUCCAUUCAUGAUAGCUCUGUGCCAAAAGUUACCAGAACACUCUUAGUAAAUUUUUUUGUUGUAGUAUAAGGUUUAAAUUGCACAUGGAGUUUACAGCUUAAUGGAUUCACACAGUACACCUAGUUUAAAAAGACAUUACCUGUGCCAUAGGAGCUCCCCUUAAACUUCUCUCCCAGCCUACUCUUUCUGAUUUUUAGCACCUUAGAGUAGUUUUGCUUGUUUUGUAGAUUCUUUACUACUACAUUCUGUUGAUGGACAUUGGUUAUUUCUUUUUGGGGUUAUGAAUAAUAAUAUCUUCUAGGUAAUGUAUCUUCUAGGUACAUUCUUGCGCUUGUCAUCUAGUACAUACAUGUAUGUUUUGGUUGGGUAAUUCUGAGGAAUGGAAUUGCUGAUUCAUAGGGUAUGCUCAUGUUGAGCUUUAGUAGUUAACUACCAAUUAGUUUUCCAGAAUAUUUGAACUAAAAGGCACUCCCUCCAUCAAUGUAUGAGAGUUCCAGUUGCCCCACAUCUUGCUCACCCUUGGUAUUUGUCUUCUGGCUUUUUGUCUUUUAGCUACUCUGGUAGGUGUUGUGGUAUCUCAUGGUUUUAUUUUGUGGUUCCCUGAUGGCUCUCACAUCUUUAUUAACAUUUAACAUUUGGGUAUCUUGGCGGGGGUUGGUAUUUGUUUUUGAGACAGGGUCUUUCUCUGUCACCCAGGCUAGAGUGCAGUGAUGCAAUCAUGGCUCACUGCAGCCUUGACCUCCCAGGGUGAAGUGAUCCUCCCACCUCAGCCUCCCAAAUAGCUAGGACUGUAGCUGCAUGCCACCACGCCUGGCUAAUUUUUUGUAGAGACGGGGUUUUACUAUGUUGUCUAGGCUGGUCUCAAACUCCUAGGCUCAAGCAAUUUCGCCUGCCUCAGCUUUCAAAGUGCUGAGAUUACAGGCAUUAACUACCUUUCCACUCCCUGCUUUUUUUUUUUUUUUUUUUUUUGAGGGGGGUGUGGAGGGGAACUAUCUGCCUUUUCCUUAAUCCAGUACAGGUUUUGUUUUGUUUUGUUUUGUUUUGUUUUUGAGAUGGAGUUUCGCUCUUGCUACCCAGGCUGGAGUGCAAUGGCAUGAUCUCGGCUCACAGCAACUUACACCUCCCAGGUUCAAGCGAUUCUCCUGCCUCAGCCUCCCGAGUAGCUGGGAUUACAGGCGCCUGCCACCACGCCUGGCUAAUUUUGUAUUUUUAGUAGAGAUGGGGUUUGUCCAUGUUAGUCAGGCUGGUCUCGAACUCCCGACCUCAGGUGAUCUGCCCGCCUCGGCCUCCCAAAGUGCUGGGAUUACAGGCAUGAGCCACCUUGCCUGGCCCCAGUACAGGUUCUUCAGAUAUUCUAGGUACGAGUUAUUUGUAAGGAACUUCUCCCUCCCCUCUAUGGCUUUACCUUUUCACUCUUAAUGGUAUUUUUAAUGAACAGAUAUCUCUAAUUUUACAAAGUUAAUUAAAAUUAAUAAAAUUUAAAAUACAGUUCCUCAGUUGCAUUAGACAUUUCGAAUGCUCAACAUGUGGCUGGUGGCUGCCACAUAGGACAGUGCAGGUUUAUAGAACAUUUCUACUGCAGAAAGUUAUACUGGACAACAUUUUCUAGAAGCAUUAUUGCCUACAUUUCCCAUUUAGAUCUACAGUGCACUUGGAAUUAAUUUUUGUUUGUGGUGUAAGAUAGGGGUUAAGAUUUUUCUCCAUAUGGAUAUCAAAUAGACUCAGCAGCGAGUGACUAUUUGUUCAGAUUAAAACCACAGUGAAUACCAUUACUCAUUCACAAGGAUGACAAAAUGUUAAGAGACAUAAUACGAAGUGUUGAUGAGGAUGCGAA